rnacentral:rRNA from 1 species
CCUACGGGCGGCAGCAGUGGGGAAUAUUGGACAAUGGGGGGAACCCUGAUCCAGCCAUGCCGCGUGUGUGAAGAAGGCCCUCGGGUUGUAAAGCACUUUCAGUGAGGAAGAACGCCUGGUGGUUAAUACCCAUCAGGAAAGACAUCACUCACAGAAGAAGCACCGGCUAACUCCGUGCCAGCAGCCGCGGUAAUACGGAGGGUGCGAGCGUUAAUCGGAAUUACUGGGCGUAAAGCGCGCGUAGGUGGCUUGAUAAGCCGGUUGUGAAAGCCCCGGGCUCAACCUGGGAACGGCAUCCGGAACUGUCAAGCUAGAGUGCAGGAGAGGAAGGUAGAAUUCCGGUGUAGCGGUGAAAUGCGUAGAGAUCGGGAGGAAUACCAGUGGCGAAGGCGGCCUUCUGGACUGACACUGACACUGAGGUGCGAAAGCGUGGGUAGCAAACAGGAUUAGAUACCCUUGUAGUC